rnacentral:rRNA from 1 species
GAUGAACGCUGGCGGCGUGCUUAACACAUGCAAGUCGAACGGAAAGACCCUGCUUUUGUGGGUUGCUUGAUUGCGGAACGCGUGAGUAACACGUGAGUAACCUGCCCUUGACUUUGGGAUAACUUUAGGAAACAGCGGCUCAUACCGGAUAGGAGCUCCUGCACCUUGGUGUGGGAUGGAAAGAUACGGCGGUUCGGGAUGGUCUCGCGGCUUAUCCGCUUGUUAGUGGGGUAGUUGCUUACCAAGUGUUUGACGGGUAGCCUGCCUGAGAGGGGUACCGGGGACCUGGGGACUGAGAUACGGCGCAGACUAGUACGGGAGGCAGCAGUGGGGAAUAUUGCACAAUGGCGGGAAGCCUGAUGCAGCAACGCCGCGUGCGGGAUGACGGCCUUCGGGUUGUAAACCGCUUUCGCCUGUGACGAGGCGUGAGUGACGGUAAUGGAUAAAGAAGCACCGGCUAACUACGUG